rnacentral:rRNA from 1 species
CAAGUCGAGCGCCCGCAGGGGAGCGGCAGACGGUGAGUAACGCGUCGGGAAGUACCCCCCGGUUCGGAAUAACGUCAGGGAACUUGAGCUAAUACCGGAUACGGCUGAGAGGCGAAAGAUUUAGUCGCCGGGGGAUCGGCCCGCGUCCGAUUAGCUAGUUGGUGUGGUAAUGGCGCACCAAGGCGACGAUCGGUAGCUGGUCUGAGAGGAUGAUCAGCCACAUUGGGACUGAGACACGGCCCAAACUCCUACGGGAGGCAGCAGUGGGGAAUAUUGGACAAUGGGCGCAASCCUGAUCCAGCMAUGCCGCGUGAGUGAUGAAGGCCUUAGGGUUGUAAAGCUCUUUCGCCCACGACGAUAAUGACGGUAGUGGGAGAAGAAGCCCCGGCUAACUUCGUGCCAGCAGCCGCGGUAAUACGAAGGGGGCUAGCGUUGUUCGGAAUUACUGGGCGUAAAGCGCGUGUAGGCGGGUCCUUAAGUCAGGGGUGAAAUGCCGAGGCUCAACCUCGGAACUGCCUUUGAUACUGGGGAUCUUGAGUCCGGGAGAGGUGAGUGGAACUGCGAGUGUAGAGGUGAAAUUCGUAGAUAUUCGCAAGAACACCAGUGGCGAAGGCGGCUCACUGGCCCGGAACUGACGCUGAGACGCGAAAGCGUGGGGAGCAAACAGGAUUAGAUACCCCUGGUAGUCCACGCUGUAAACGAUGGAUGCUAGCCGUUGGGGAGCUUGCUCUUCAGUGGCGCAGCUAACGCCUUAAGCAUCCCGCCUGGGGAGUACGGUCGCAAGAUUAAAACUCAAAGGAAUUGACGAGGG